rnacentral:lncRNA from 13 species
GGGAGAAUACCUUCAAGUCCUAAGUGACAAAGAGUGGUUUAAAGUUGGGGACCAGGACCUUCUUGACCAUUCUUGUGGGAACCCAGAGAGUACUUUAUGUGUUUUCAUAGUCAACAGGGACCCUGACCUUUUUAUGAUGAACAGACUCAUCAGUGAGACUUCACCAAGUAUCUUGGACAAAAGAAGACAGAAUAUGGUAGAAAGAAAAUGUCAAAAGGUUCAAUUGAGUUAAUCGUUUUCUAAUGCUCACUCCGACACAAUAUACAUUGUAAAACUGCUGAUUCUUUUCAAAAUGGAUAUGACAGAAUAAAAGGAGUAGAAGAGAAUCAUCUGGACUUUAUGAAAUGGUUGGUUAUGGGAAAAGCUUUCACCAUGUGACAUAUCUACUUCCCUCUUCAUCUCCCACCUUGAAUAAAAGCUUCUUGAGGCCUCCCUGGAAGCCA